rnacentral:rRNA from 1 species
UUCCUGGUGGGUAUAGUUGCAGGGUCACACCCGUUCCCAUUCCGAAUACGGAAGUUAAGCUUGCAACGCCGAUUGUACUUGGCUGGUAACGGCCUGGGAGAGUAGGUACUGCCAGGGAU